GCGCCCGUAGCUCAGCUGGAUAGAGUACUGCCCUCCGAAGGCAGGGGUCGGACGUUCGAAUCGUCUCGGGCGCG
rfam:Betaproteobacteria bacterium RIFCSPLOWO2_12_FTLL_65_110 rifcsplowo2_12_scaffold_38968, whole genome shotgun sequence.